rnacentral:rRNA from 1 species
CCGCAGCUCAAGUGGUGACCACUAUUAUUGGGCCUAAAACGUUCGUAGCCGGUUUGGUAAAUGCCUGGGUAAAUCGUGUAGCUUAACUAUACGAAUUCCGGGUAGACUGCCAAACUUGAGACCGGGAGAAGCUAGAGGUACUCCUAGGGUAGAGGUGAAAUUCUGUAAUCCUGGGGGGACCACCAGUGGCGAAGGCGUCUAGCUAGAACGGGUCUGACGGUGAGGAACGAAGCCCUGGGGCGCAAACCGGAUUAGAUACCCGAGUAGUCC